UUCUGCACGCUUAACUGCAUGCCUAAGCCUGAUUGUCCUAAAUCCCCUGGAUAGCCCAAGAGCCUUCUGUUUCUCUCCACUCCAUCUCCAUUGCUCAAUUCAGACCUCACUAUCUUCCCUCUGGUAUGUUACAACUGUCCCAUAAAUGAUGCCCCUUCCUCCACCAACUCUGACUGCAAUCUACCCUUUCCAUGACCACCAAAGGGAUCUUUCAGAGAAGGUGUCCAGAGACAGCUACAUAAAGCAAGACAAAGUGUGAUCGAUGGGCGUUGCAGGAAGGCAUCUUCUGACUCCUCCUGACACGGAGAGCUGCUCGCUACAGAAGGUGUAGAAUCUUUGAGGACAGUGAGCUGUCGGAUGCUGAAAUGUGCAGGCAAGAGGUGAAAACCAUUGGCAGGGGCUGCUGUGGAGGAGAUUCGGGCCUCUUGCAAUAAUAAAGUUAAGUGAAAUCAAAAGAAAUGCUCUUGUUCUCUCCUGGCCCUGAUGGCCCAUGGAAUUGCAUUCUCUCUCUGACUGAUGCUGAGGGCCAGCUCAAUGGCUAAGAAUCCCUCUCGCCUUCUUGAAGCCUGUGUCUCCACAAUAAACCUCCAAAGCUAAUGCAAG
rnacentral:lncRNA from 10 species